UGCCCUGACUGGAGAUAGAACCCGCAACCCGAAGCUCUAACCAACUGAGCCACCCUGCCAGGGCACCAUCUAAUCCUCUUUAGAGAAAGUUCCUUUGUUCAGAAAGACUGUUCUUCAUUUGGCUCUUGAUACCAGGAGGUAGGUUAACUGAGCUUAUGGUAGGUGUUUAAGGAAACAGGUGGUGGUCAGGUUGGUCUGAAGGUCCUGACUCCUGUUCCAUUCCCCAUCAGAAAACAAGGUCAAUGGAUGGAGGGUCAUGAGGCAAAGGGAAAGAGCUUCAAACAGGUAGAAAUGUUGAAUUUGGAUAGUCAGCAACCCUGCUAUGUAAUUUAUUGUUUCUGGAAUGUUUUUGGACAUUUCUCAAUUUGCAAUUAAAUGGUUGGGAUAUAAUUCUAGCACUGGUUCCAAAAACGAGAUACAUAAAAUCAUCAUGUGUUAUUAAACUAGUCACUUUUAAUAGUGAGAGGGAGGCAGUGUUGUGUAGUGAAGAGAAUGGGCUAUUUGGAGCCAGAAACUUCAGAUUCCAGGCCAUCCAGUGCCACCAUCUAGUUGCAUGGUUGUGGAUAACUAGGCUUUCUAUGUGUCUCAGGUUUUUUUCCAUUGGUAUAACGGCUGGUUGGGCGAGAUUAUGUCCGAUGUCUAGCAGCCGCUAUGCAACAGCCUGUGACCGAUUUCAAGAAGAGAGGAAUGACCUUCACAUUGUCGACUGUCUGUUUAGCUCUUCACUGUACAUUACCUCAUUGAAUCCUCACAACGAGGAGCCUAGAAAAUAGGUUUUGAUACCGUAAUCUACCAUGUGAACCACAGAAUAUAGAAACAGAUUUUCAUUAAUCAACUGAAACCGCCUAGCUGAGCAUCCUGCAUGGAUGGAAAUAAAGAAGGGAACCUCCAUUUAGUAGGUAAGCCCAGCUCACUGUCCUAUAUUCUCAUUGUCCAGAAUGGCUAGGAUUUGGCUUUGCUCCUUCUCUCGUAACUUUCUCAUAUACUUAAGAGACAUACCAUGGGGGUGUGUAGCGGCCUUUGGGGGAGACUGCUAAAGCCAGGGCUGGUGGCCUUUUCCACUUUUAGCCCUUUGGAUUUCCUGUGCAUUUCGGAUUCUUUCUCCCUUCCUGUGCAGUUGUUUGGGCUGGCAAGCGCAGCUGGUCACCGGAUGAUGCUAACGAGCCCAUAGUCAGCAGGCAGUUACAUUUACUGAGAAACCCUGCCCUGUGUGUGAGUUCAGUUCAGUACGCACUAUUUGAGGAGUAAGAAUCUAUUUUGGGGAUACCUACUCUGUCAGUACUACACAAAUUCACCUAAUAAGGAGAGCCAUCUGGUGUCUCAGACCCCUUCCUGGGAGAGUCAGAUUCUGUAGGCCUUGGGCCAGUGCCUGGGAUUCUGUAUUUUAUACAAAUUUCUAGUGAUUCU